GUGGGGAAUAUUGCGCAAUGGGGGCAACCCUGACGCAGCAAUACCGCGUGAGUGAAGAAGGUUUUCGGAUCGUAAAGCUCUGUUAUUGGGGAAGUAAAAAGACGGUACCCAAGAAGAAAGUCCCGGCUAACUACGUGCCAGCAGCCGCGGUAAUACGUAGGGGACAAGCGUUGUCCGGAUUUACUGGGCGUAAAGGGCACGCAGGCGGUUUUUUAAGUCAGAUGUGAAAGGUACCGGCUCAACCGGUGACAUGCAUUUGAAACUGAAAGACUUGAGUAUUGGAGAGGCAAGUGGAAUUCCUAGUGUAGCGGUGAAAUGCGUAGAUAUUAGGAGGAACACCGGUGGCGAAGGCGGCUUGCUGGACAAAUACUGACGCUGAGGUGCGAAAGCGUGGGGAGCAAACAGGAUUAGAAACCCUUGUAGUCC
rnacentral:rRNA from 1 species